GAAAUAAUAAAAAUAGAAGUACCUCCCGUUUGAAGUGGUGACUAAAUGGAGUCAAAUUAUUCUAUUUAUACUCACAAUGAACAAAAGAAUCAUGGCACCAAUUUAAUCGAAAAAGAAAAUAAUAAUACAAGUACUAAAUUCGCACUAAUAUAUUAGACGUAAAGAAAUUUAAGCAAAUCUAAAAAAAUUCCAAGUUAAGUAUAUUCAAAAGUAGCAUAACUAGCUAUUAAAGAAAAAAAAAACAAUCAUAAUAAAGAGAGCCAAAAUUCAUCAGGGACUGAAUUGCAAAAAUUGAAAAGCUAUUGGGGACAAAAAUUAUAUUUUUUCAAAGUUCAGAGGUCAAAAUUAAAUGAAAGAUAAAAUUCAAGGACCAAAGUGCAAUUAACUUAAGGAGCUAAGUGAAAGAAAUUUAAAAUGUUCUGGGCCAUAGUGAAAAUACUUGAAAGUACAGGAGCUGAUAUGCAAAACGAUUUCUUAUUCCUUAACAAAUCAGGCCACUGGACCAUUUUUCUCAUUUCUUUGGGCCAGGACUCUCGAGCCCACCGGAAAAACCUCGAGAACAAGAGACGGGCUAGCCCAUUGAUUUUAUCAAAUAAACCCAAUUGAAAUGUAUGGGCUUCAACUCCCAAGCCCAUUCGUAAAAUCCAAAAAAAAUAACCAAAAUCCAACUAAAACUAGCUCUUGGCCCAACCAAAAUAAAACAUUAGCCCAAAUCAUUUUUUUUCUUCUUUUCUUUCCUUUCUUUUCUUCUUCUUUUUUUUUUCUUCUUCCACCGAGAAGCCGAAGCUUCUCCCUGCUGGCGGCCAUGGUUGCCUCCGCCAUCGGGCCGCCGCCACCGCCGGUCGCCGGCGAUAUCUUCGGUCGUGAAAAAUUACCAAAAUCUACUCUCCCACUCGAUUUUUCACGUAGAUUCCAUUUUUGGGUUUAGUUUUAACAAAAAAGGACUCGAAAGUGGCCAAAAUGACAAGAAAUCAGUCCAGUUUUGAUUUUUCAAAACAACAUAUCCUUCACCAAAAAUUAUAAAAAUUAUAUCACAACACUCUUACAUCUCCUACAAUACAAAUAUGAUUUUAUUUUGACAAGAAAACAACAUAAAAGGGCUAAAAUAAAGCAAAACAGCCCCCCUAAAAUUCCCUUUUUUCCAUUUUUGGCAUUUUUUCAAACAGUUAACAUGCAUACAUAAAAAACGUUUCCUUUUCCUCAAUCUAGUUUUGGACUUGCCCAACAACACCACAUCAAUAAAACCAGCAAGAGGAAGGGGCAAAUCAGCAACUAAACAUGCUUCAAAUAUAACUACUAAAAUAGAAAGAAAAAGGAAAGGAAAUCGGAAAAAUAAAAGGAAGAUUACCUCAGCUAGAAUUACGGUCCGUUGGCUAGAGUUUGGAGGAAACUCCAAGCUAUGAUUGUCCAAUUGGUAGCUGCCCCUCUUUUUUGUUGUGUGUGAGUGUGUUGGGAAAAACCGAGAGAGAGAGAGAGUGAGGUUUUGUAUGGUGUUCACAAAAAAUGAGAGGGAGAAUUGAGAGAAGAGCCGAUAGAAGAGUCCGGGAGAUUG
rnacentral:lncRNA from 1 species